rnacentral:rRNA from 1 species
AGAGUUUGAUCCUGGCUCAGAUUGAACGCUGGCGGCAUGCCUUACACAUGCAAGUCGAACGGCAGCACGGGAGCAAUCCUGGUGGCGAGUGGCGAACGGGUGAGUAAUAUAUCGGAACGUGCCCAGUCGUGGGGGAUAACGCAGCGAAAGCUGUGCUAAUACCGCAUACGAUCUCUGGAUGAAAGCGGGGGACUCGCAAGGGCCUCGCGCGAUUGGAGCGGCCGAUAUCAGAUUAGCUAGUUGGUGGGGUAAAAGCCCACCAAGGCGACGAUCUGUAGCUGGUCUGAGAGGACGACCAGCCACACUGGAACUGAGACACGGUCCAGACUCCUACGGGAGGCAGCAGUGGGGAAUUUUGGACAAUGGGCGAAAGCCUGAUCCAGCAAUGCCGCGUGCAGGAUGAAGGCCUUCGGGUUGUAAACUGCUUUUGUACGGAACGAAACGGUCGUCUUUAAUAAAGGUGGCUAAUGACGGUACCGUAAGAAUAAGCACCGGCUAACUACGUGCCAGCAGCCGCGGUAAUACGUAGGGUGCGAGCGUUAAUCGGAAUUACUGGGCGUAAAGCGUGCGCAGGCGGUUAUAUAAGACAGAUGUGAAAUCCCCGGGCUCAACCUGGGACCUGCAUUUGUGACUGUAUAGCUAGAGUACGGUAGAGGGGGAUGGAAUUCCGCGUGUAGCAGUGAAAUGCGUAGAUAUGCGGAGGAACACCGAUGGCGAAGGCAAUCCCCUGGACCUGUACUGACGCUCAUGCACGAAAGCGUGGGGAGCAAACAGGAUUAGAUACCCUGGUAGUCCACGCCCUAAACGAUGUCAACUGGUUGUUGGGUCUUCACUGACUCAGUAACGAAGCUAANCGCGUGAAGUGCCCGCCUGG